GACGGAGGAUGCAAGUGUUAUCCGGAAUCACUGGGCGUAAAGCGUCUGUAGGUGGUUUAGUAAGUCAAAUGUUAAAUCUUGAGGCUCAACCUCAAAAUCGCAUUCGAAACUGCUAGACUUGAGUAUAGUAGAGGUAAAGGGAAUUUCUAGUGGAGCGGUGAAAUGCGUAGAUAUUAGAAAGAACACCAAUUGCGAAGGCACUUUACUGGGCUAUUACUGACACUCAGAGACGAAAGCUAGGGUAGCAAAUGGG
rnacentral:rRNA from 1 species